rnacentral:rRNA from 1 species
GGGAAUAUUGGACAAUGGGGGGAACCCUGAUCCAGCGACGCCGCGUGAGAGAAGAAGUAUUUCGGUAUGUAAAGCUCUAUCAGCAGGGAAGAAAGAAAUGACGGUACCUGACUAAGAAGCCCCGGCUAACUACGUGCCAGCAGCCGCGGUAAUACGUAGGGGGCAAGCGUUAUCCGGAUUUACUGGGUGUAAAGGGAGCGUAGACGGCAGCGCAAGUCUGGAGUGAAAUGCCGGGGCCCAACCCCGGAACUGCUUUGGAAACUGUGCAGCUCGAGUGCGGGAGAGGUAAGCGGAAUUCCUAGUGUAGCGGUGAAAUGCGUAGAUAUUAGGAGGAACACCAGUGGCGAAGGCGGCUUACUGGACUGUAACUGACGUUGAGGCUCGAAAGCGUGGGGAGCAAAC